rnacentral:rRNA from 1 species
CCUACGGGAGGCAGCAGUGGGGAAUAUUGCACAAUGGGCGAAAGCCUGAUGCAGCAACGCCGCGUGAAGGAAGAAGGCCUUCGGGUCGUAAACUUCUGUCCUUGGGGAAGUAAAACUGACGGUACCCAAGGAUUAAGCUCCGGCUAACUACGUGCCAGCAGCCGCGUUAAUACGUAGGGGGCAAGCGUUAUCCGGAAUUAUGGGGCGUAAGGAGUACGUAGGUGGCAACCUAAGCGCAGGGUUUAAGGCAAUGGCUCAACCAUUGUUCGCCGUGCGAACUGGAAUGCUUGAGUGCAGGAGAGGAAGGCGGAAUGCCUAGUGUAGCGGUGAAAUGCGUAGAUAUUAGGAAGAACACCAGUGGCGAAGGCGGCUUUCUGGACUGUAACUGACACUGAGGUACGAAAGCGUGGGGAGCAAACAGGAUUAGAUACCCGUGUAGUC